UACAGAGGUCUCAAGCGUUGUUCGGAAUCACUGGGCGUAAAGGGUGUGUAGGCUGCGUGUUAAGUCAGAUGUGAAAUCCCGGGGCUCAACCUCGGAACUGCAUCCGAUACUGGCAUGCUAGAGAAUUGGAGAGGAGUCUAGAAUUCACGGUGUAGCAGUGAAAUGCGUAGAUAUCGUGAGGAAUACCAAGGGCGAAGGCAGGACUCUGGACAUUUUCUGACGCUGAGACACGAAGGCUAGGGGAGCAAACGGG
rnacentral:rRNA from 1 species